AGUGAACGCUGGCGGCAGGCCUAACACAUGCAAGUCGAACGGCAGCACAGUGGAGCUUGCUCCAUGGGUGGCGAGUGGCGGACGGGUGAGGAAUACAUCGGAAUCUGCCCAGUCGUGGGGGAUAACAUAGGGAAACUUAUGCUAAUACCGCAUACGACCUACGGGUGAAAGCGGGGGAUCGCAAGACCUCGCGCGAUUGGAUGAGCCGAUGUCCGAUUAGCUAGUUGGCGGGGUAAUGGCCCACCAAGGCGACGAUCGGUAGCUGGUCUGAGAGGAUGAUCAGCCACACUGGAACUGAGACACGGUCCAGACUCCUACGGGAGGCAGCAGUGGGGAAUAUUGGACAAUGGGCGCAAGCCUGAUCCAGCCAUGCCGCGUGGGUGAAGAAGGCCUUCGGGUUGUAAAGCCCUUUUGUCCGGAAAGAAACGCCUCGGAUUAAUACUCUGGGGUAAUGACGGUACCGGAAGAAUAAGCACCGGCUAACUUCGUGCCAGCAGCCGCCGCAG
rnacentral:rRNA from 1 species